rnacentral:tRNA from 1 species
GCCUUCGUAGUAUAUAGUACAUUAUUUUGGUCUUGUAAACCAAAGAUGGGAACAUUUAUCCCCGAAGACA